GUGUUCGUAUGGUUGGCAUCUUCCUUGACAGGGACGGGAACAACUUCGAACUUGCCUGUUACAAGUUACCACACAUCCUCUUAAGGCUACCCACCCUUCUGAUGGAUCUAUAACCUUUUUUUU